UUACCCUAGCAAAUUCUGCUUUUUUUAUCCACUGAAUGUAGAUUAAUAGUCAGGGAGAAGAGCCAAAUCAUUACCAUUAGCACAUAUGCAUUUUUUUACCAACUUUAUUUUAUGUCUGUGGCUGGAGCAAAUAUACAGUAUGUUGGGUAAAAGAAUAACCUUAAAUAAUCAUAGUAAAAUAUAUUCUGAAACAAGUGGGAAUUUGUAUCAUCAAUAGCAGACGAAACUCUAAUCAUCAUCAUCAUUUGUGUGGGGUAACCUGAACCAAUUCAGCUCCAACAUAUGAUUUAUUGAACCAUUUCAAGGUUUCUCAGAAGUGAGCAGUGCUACUUCAGCAUCACUGAUGUAACAUUAAAGUUUUAUUUGUAUUUAUUAAUUUAUUUUUAUAUUUUCUUUUGUUAUUUGACUUUUUUCAUUUCAGGCCAUGUUUAUUCAUUUAGCGUAAUAUUUAUGUUUAUUUUUAUGGUUUUAGUUAAUAAUAAUAACCCUGAGUUUGGUAAACUUCUAUAGUGGUGAAUGGGAGACAACAGCAAAUAUGAUUUUUGCAUUCCCAUCUGCUUCAGUAGCAAAAGAAAGAAAUCACAGUAGGUUUUCCUAUGGGCAGAUUUUGACUGUGUGCCAGUAUCCCAUUUUAGGAAUGCGAGCUUUGAAUAUUGUCUAUAUUAUUACUUAUCUAAAACAUCAUAUUGACUGAUUCUCUGUAAUGGAAAACAGUGUGUUCUGAGAACAAAGUACUGUCAUGCUCAACAAAAUGCAUUUUUCUUGUGGAAAUGUAUCUGGACACAUUUCAUUCUUGUUAUACUGUCUAUGAUAUGCAAGCUUUUGAUUUGUAAAACUAUUAUUACCAUUAUUGUUGAAUAAUUUAUGAAUUGUUGAAAUUUAUGAAUGUAAUAUGGAUGUGAUAUGUAAUUUGACAAUCAAAUGGAAACAAACUUUUUUUUUUUCAUGUGAAGAAUGUGGAGGCUCCAAUUAUUUUUGGCAUUAUACAACAAAUUCUACAAUACAUUAUAUAUAACUUUGCCACUA